rnacentral:misc_RNA from 1 species
GAUGAAGAACGCAGCGAAACGCGAUAUGUAAUGUGAAUUGCAGAAUUCAGUGAAUCAUCGAAUCUUUGAACGCACAUGGCGCCUUCCAGUAUCCUGGGAGGCAUGCCUGUCCGAGCGUCGUUUCAACCCUCGAGCCCCCGUGGCCCGGCGUUGGGGAUCUGCCACGGCAGGCCCCUAAAACCAGUGGCGGACCCGAAGGCCCUCUCCUUUGCGCAGUAGCAUCAGCCUCGCAUUGGGAUCCCUCGGCGUCCUGCCUCUAAACCCCCCACAAGUCCGCGCCGGCGGCACCAAGGUUGACCUCGGAUCAGGUAGGAAUACCCGCUGAACUUAAGCAUAUCAAUAAGCGGAGGA